rnacentral:rRNA from 1 species
AACGAACGCUGGCGGCAUGCCUAACACAUGCAAGUCGAACGGGACCUUCGGGUCUAGUGGCGCACGGGGGCGUAAAGCGGGGGAACCUGCCCUUAGGUUCGGAAGAACUCCCCGAAAGAGGUGCUAAUACCGGAUAAUGUACUCCGACCAAAGAUUUAUCGCCUUUGGAUGGGCCCGCGUUGGCUUGGCUAGUUGGUAGGGUAAAAGCCUACCAAGGCGACGAUGCAUAGCGGGUCUGAGAGGAUGAUCAGCCACACUGGGACUGCGACACGGCCCAGACUCCUACGCGAGGCAGGAGUGGGUAAUAUUGGACAAUGGGCGAUAUCCUGAUGCAGCACUGCCGCGUGAGUGAUGAAGGCCUUAGGGUUGUAAAGCUCUUUUACCCGGGGUUAUAAUGACAGUACCGGGAGAAUAAGCACCGGCUAACUCCGUG